rnacentral:rRNA from 1 species
AACGUACGCUGGCGGCACGCCUAACACAUGCAAGUCGAACGAAGUAGCAAUACUUAGUGGCAGACGGGUGAGUAACAUGUAGGUAUCUGCCCUUUGGCCUGGAAUAACACGAGGAAACUUGUGCUAAUACCGGAUAAGUCUUUACGGAGAAAGCUUUAUGCACCAUUGGAUGAGCCUGCACUUGAUUAGUUUGUUGGUGGGGUAAUGGCCUACCAAGACUGUGAUCAAUAGCUGAUUUGAGAGGAUGAUCAGCCACAUUGGGACUGAGACACGGCCCAAACUCCUACGGGAGGCAGCAGUGGGGAAUCUUGCACAAUGGAGGAAACUCUGAUGCAGCGAUGCCGCGUGAGUGAAGAAGGCCCUUGGGUUGUAAAGCUCUUUCGUCGGGGAAGAAAAUGACUGUACCCGAAUAAGAAGGUCCGGCUAACUUCGUGCCAGCAGCCGCGGUAAUACGAAGGGACCUAGCGUAGUUCGGAAUUACUGGGCUUAAAGAGUUCGUAGGUGGUUGAAAAAGUUAGUGGUGAAAUCCCAGAGCUUAACUCUGGAACUGCCAUUAAAACUUUUCAGCUAGAGUAUGAUAGAGGAAAGCAGAAUUUCUAGUGUAGAGGUGAAAUUCGUAGAUAUUAGAAAGAAUACCAAUUGCGAAGGCAGUUUUCUGGAUCAUUACUGACACUGAGGAACGAAAGCAUGGGUAGCGAAGAGGAUUAGAUACCCUCGUAGUCCAUGCCGUAAACGAUGUGUGUUAGACGUUGGAAAUUUAUUUUCAGUGUCGCAGGGAAACCGAUAAACACACCGCCUGGGGAGUACGACCGCAAGGUUAAAACUCAAAUGAAUUGACGGGGACCCGCACAAGUAGUGGAGCAUGUGGUUUAAUUCGAAGAUACGCGCAGAACCUUACCAACACUUGACAUGUUCGUCGCGACUCUAAGAGAUUAGAGUUUUCGGUUCGGCCGGACGAAACACAGGUGCUGCAUGGCUGUCGUCAGCUCGUGUCGUGAGAUGUUGGGUUAAGUCCCGCAACGAGCGCAACCCUCACUUUUAGUUGCCAUCAUUAAGUUGGGCACUCUGAAAGAACUGCCAGUGAUAAGCUGGAGGAAGGUGGGGAUGACGUCAAGUCCUCAUGGCCCUUACGUGUUGGGCUACACACGUGCUACAAUGGUAUCUACAACAGGAAGCAAGACUGCGAAGUUAAGCAAAUCCCUAAAAGAUACCUCAGUUCGGAUUGCACUCUGCAACUCGAGUGCAUGAAGCUGGAAUUACUAGUAAUCGUGGAUCAGCGUGCCACGGUGAAUGCGUUCCCGGGUCU